rnacentral:rRNA from 1 species
CUUACCAUGCAGUCGAGCGGAGAGAGGUAGCUUGCUACUGAUCUUAGCGGCGGACGGGUGAGUAAUACUUAGGAAUCUGGCUAUUAGUGGGGGACAACAUUUCGAAAGGGAUGCUAAUACCGCAUACGUCCUACGGGAGAAAGCAGGGGAUCAGUAAUGACCUUGCGCUAAUAGAUGAGCCUAAGUCGGAUUAGCUAGUUGGUGGGGUAAAGGCCUACCAAGGCGACGAUCUGUAGCGGGUCUGAGAGGAUGAUCCGCCACACUGGGACUGAGACACGGCCCAGACUCCUACGGGAGGCAGCAGUGGGGAAUAUUGGACAAUGGGGGGAACCCUGAUCCAGCCAUGCCGCGUGUGUGAAGAAGGCCUUAUGGUUGUAAAGCACUUUAAGCGAGGAGGAGGGUACUGGUAUUAAUACUACCAGCUACUGGACGUUACUCGCAGAAUAAGCACCGGCUAACUCUGUGCCAGCAGCCGCGGUAAUACAGAGGGUGCGAGCGUUAAUCGGAUUUACUGGGCGUAAAGCGUGCGUAGGCGGCUAAUUGAGUCGGAUGUGAAAUCCCCGAGCUUAACUUGGGAAUUGCAUUCGAUACUGGUUAGCUAGAGUGUGGGAGAGGAUGGUAGAAUUCCAGGUGUAGCGGUGAAAUGCGUAGAGAUCUGGAGGAAUACCGAUGGCGAAGGCAGC